AGUGAACGCUGGCGGUAGGCCUAACACAUGCAAGUCGAACGGCAGCACAGUAAGAGCUUGCUCUUACGGGUGGCGAGUGGCGGACGGGUGAGGAAUACAUCGGAAUCUACUUUUUCGUGGGGGAUAACGUAGGGAAACUUACGCUAAUACCGCAUACGACCUACGGGUGAAAGCAGGGGAUCUUCGGACCUUGCGCGAUUGAAUGAGCCGAUGUCGGCUUAGCUAGUUGGCGGGGUAAAGGCCCACCGAGGCGACGAUCCGUAGCUGGUCUGAGAGGAUGAUCAGCCACACUGGAACGGAGACACGGUCCAGACUCCUACGGGAGGCAGCAGUGUGGAAUAUUGGACAAUGGGCGCAAGCCUGAUCCAGCCAUACCGCGUGGGUGAAGAAGGCCUUCGGCUUGUAAAGCCCUUUUGUUGGGAAAGAAAAGCAGCAGGUUAAUACCCCGCUGUUCUGACGGUACCCAAAGAAUAAGCACCGGCUAACUUCGUG
rnacentral:rRNA from 1 species